UGAUCAUUACUAAGGCUUUUAGAAUGCAGUUUCUCAUUUGCCGUGAACAUGACCACAAAACAUUUUCCCAAUAGGUUUUCUUUCUGCUAUGUUGGUAGCAUUGCUAUGUUUAGCCUUUUGGGAACAUUU